rnacentral:lncRNA from 1 species
GACAUUCUUUUUCUAUAAACCUGGCAAGAGAUAAUUUUCCGGGCAUUGAUAAAUCAGAUAUCUUCGUUAGAUUUGGAUAUGAAAAUCGAGCUUCCUAUCCUGGGUGUCCUCAAAACCUGCCAAAGCAGAUACGAAUUUUGCAUUGUAGGGUUCAAAAAUAGAUUCUAACACUGAAAUUCCUCAUAGGGUAAGCAAAUUCGCAGUUUCCUAUUCAGAACCCUUCUUCGUCCGUCACUGCUGGUGAAGCCAGUGUAUAUGAGGAAGUUAAUGUGGCUUCAACACUUCUGGGCUUCGAAGUCAGCCUAGGAAGCUGGAAAAUAUGGUAAGUUCAGUGAGAAAUUAUCCUAAUCGCUGGGCUUCUCUGCAAACUUGAAUUGAAGGCGAACUAUAAAUUGGAAGUUUAAUUUCGUGUCAGUUCACCAAGUAUGUAUUCGAACCAUUCAAUGAACUAAAUGCUUAUGUUGUCAGACGAGUUGCAAAAUUCAAAGCAAGUGAAGAUAACAAAAUGAAUUCCUAUCACUUCGAUUAGCCUUCUUCUAUUAGUGCGUGAAAUUCUUGAAAUUACUCCAUAAACACUUAAAUUCAAUAUAAAAGUAUUACACGUCUAAUGAAGGAUUAAGAACAGUAAAUAUUCAAAGCAAAAGAACACUUUGAUUCACAAGUAGAUAAUAAACUUAACGUCUCAAUCAUGCUCAACUUUCAAACUUAAGUGAAAACCAGUGAAGAAAAUCCCAAAUGAGGCCAUCAAAUUAAAAUACCAAAGCCUAUGCUUCAUAUACCAUUUUUAGACUCUAUCUUACUAACUUGACCCCAGGCAAAUGCAUUCAGAGGGACCUAAUCUUGGACCAAGAUAAAUAGAUUCAAAAACAAGUAUAUAUCCAAACAUGUGAAGAAAAAGAAAAUCUGCUUAAAGAGAAUUGGAACAAUUCAAAUAACAGGUCCUAACAAACAAAUAGAUAUACUUAAUAAAAAAACUAGCAUAUUAGCAUAUUUUCAUAUUAUUUAAGACCAAUUCCAAGAUGGCCAGUACACUAUCGUUCCUAUUCAGACCUUCAACUUUCAUUUUAAUAAGAAGAAACCAACAUUUCCAUUUUCAGGAGAGCUACACUAAAUCUGCAAAUUCAAUUAAAGAAAUUCACUUGUAAACAGACUUUCCACACAUCUAGAAUUAUUCUAAAACAUGCUAUGAAAGGUAAUCUACACUACAAGCUAAGCAUCAAACUAGAAGAAUAUUUUGAAAAACAGGAAAGCAUAGUCUUCAUUUCCCUUCAAAUCAACAUCCAUGAUCUGUUCUUACAUGUUUAAUUCAGGGAUAUGUACCUAGAAGUGGAAAGAAACAGAAUCAAGUAUCAGCAGCCACGAAAGUAGGGGUCAGCAGCAAGAACAAUCAGAUUCAACAAUGAGGACAAUGAAAUAAGCCUAGGAACCUUAAUGGAAUAGUAACUCUUAACUAAAUUGAACCAAAAGCUUUCAAACAAUCAAUCCUCAGCCUCUUUACUCUGGAUAAACCAGAAGCUUUCAGCAGUAAGAAAAACAAAACUUCAGAAGUUCAAGAAAAUUCCAAUGAAAUGUGAAAAAUUAGUUUUUUAGCUGGCUGAUGCUUUUUCCAGAUUCGAUUCCCUUAGUCUUGCCUUGAAAGACAAGAAAAUGUGCCUUUAUAUAGGCAGAACUUGGGUUCCUUUUCAGAUCUUACUUUGCUCAUUAGUCCCUUUUUUGAAUUCUUGGUUUUAGCUAGUCAGUCCUUUUAUUAAUGGCUUGUUUCCCAAGUCAACUACUUAAAAGUCUAAAACUCACCUAAAGCCCUUACUAGAACCUUCCUAUUUCAGUUAUACUAAGAUUCCCUAAGUUAAAUUCCCUAAACUACCCCUUAAGAUCCCUAUAUUACUGAAAAACUUCCAAAAAAUUAAACUGGACCUACAUUAAGCUUGAAUUAAACCCUAACAGUUCAACUAACCUUAUUUAGGCUUCAAAAUUUAGAGCUAACUACAGAAUCAAACAAUAUUCCAUUAUCAAAGAAAACCCAACGAUUAGCACAAAAUCAACAUGAGGAGAAGAGAAAAAUCUGAAGUACUAACAAAGAAGAAUCAAAGAAUAUGCGGAUAUACUAGUCAAGUUAUCUAACUAAACUAAUCAAUAAGAAACAAGAAUCGAAGAUUUAAGCUUAUGUUAUUAAAGCUAAACAAACGCAUGAUGAACGGAUUAACUACAACUAAAGUUUAAAGUGCGACAAGGAACCUCAAAUAAUGGAGGAAAAAUAAGAAGACUCAUUUGACACAAAAUCAAAAAUCAAAACAACAUCAAAACAUGAAAAAAUCAUUAAUCAAAACCCCGAAACUCUAAACUAUCUAAUCAUGCAGGCGAAUAAUCAAGGAGGAAAAGAAAAAGGAAGCUUACCGAUGAAAUGUUGAACCAAAUAGGACUCCGAUUUGAGGUUCGGAAUGAUGUAAAUAUUUGUUCUUCGUCAAGAACAAACGAGCAUAUUAUUUCGUGCCUCGAAUCAAUCUCUAGGCUAAGGAAUUUAAAAAAACAAGCAAGUCAGGCUUCUAGGAUUCUACUAUUUCCACGAUUUGAAAUCCCAGGAAUUCUGGGGAUGUUUGAAGGAGAGUAAGUAGGGAUUUGGACUGAAGGAGAGACGGGGGUUGUGGGGUGUUAUUUUGAGGUGGUUUGGAGGCGGCGCCGCCAUAGGCGGCGGAGCGGCUGUGAUUUCAAAUCAAUAUUCGAUCAGUUUGAAGGGGAUUCGAGGGAGGCUGUUGUUAGAUUCAUGACGAGGAUGAAAAGGGGGUGCUAUGGUGUAAUUUUGGGGCUGUUUGGAGCAUCGCCGCCAUCGUGGGGUGAUUUCCGGCGGCGGUCUAGGGCGGAGCCGGUGGGUGUAGUAUUGGGGUGUGCGAGAGAAAAUCGGAUAGGGGGGUGGGGUGGGUGCAUU